rfam:Neotoma lepida isolate 417 scaffold_1277, whole genome shotgun sequence.
GUAGGUUACGGGGACAUGAGGCCCAUCACUGUGGGAGGCAAGAUUGUGGGCUCACUGUGCGCCAUCGCUGGGGUCCUCACCAUCGCUUUGCCUGUGCCUGUCAUCGUCUCCAAU